rnacentral:rRNA from 1 species
GACGAACGCUGGCGGCGUGCUUAACACAUGCAAGUCGAACGGAAAGGCCCUGCUUUUGUGGGGUGCUCGAGUGGCGAACGGGUGAGUAACACGUGAGUAACCUGCCCUUGACUUUGGGAUAACUUCAGGAAACUGGGGCUAUUCCCGGUUGGAACUCCCGCCUGCUGGGUGGGGGUGGGAAAUUUUCGGCGGUUGGGGUUGGAUUCGCGGCUUAUCAGCUUGUUGGUGGGGUGGUGGCUUACCAAGGCUUUGACGGGUAGCCGGCCUGAGAGGGUGACCGGCCACAUUGGGACUGAGAUACGGCCCAGACUCCUACGGGAGGCAGCAGUGGGGAAUAUUGCACAAUGGGCGGAAGCCUGAUGCAGCAACGCCGCGUGCGGGAUGACGGCCUUCGGGUUGUAAACCGCUUUCGCCUGUGACGAAGCGUGAGUGACGGUAAUGGGUAAAGAAGCACCGGCUAACUACGUG